rnacentral:rRNA from 1 species
GGGAGGCUGAACCAGCCAAGUCGCGUGAGGGAAGACGGCCCUACGGGUUGUAAACCUCUUUUGUCAGGGAGCAAGGUGCAGGUCGGGACCUGCUGUGAGAGUACCUGAAGAAAAAGCAUCGGCUAACUCCGUGCCAGCAGCCGCGGUAAUACGGAGGAUGCGAGCGUUAUCCGGAUUUAUUGGGUUUAAAGGGUGCGCAGGCGGAGGCACAAGUCAGCGGUAAAAUCGCGGGGCUCAACCCCGCUCCGCCGUUGAAACUGUGUCCCUUGAGUGCGCGAAGGGUAGGCGGAAUGCGUGGUGUAGCGGUGAAAUGCAUAGAUAUCACGCAGAACUCCGAUCGCGAAGGCAGCCUACCGGCGCGCGACUGACGCUCAUGCACGAAAGCGUGGGUAUCGAACAGGAUUAGAUACCCUGGUAGUCCACGCAGUAAACGAUGAAUGCUAUCUGUCCGGCCGGAAUGACGGCUGG